GGGACACGUGGUAUCCUGUCUGAAUAUGGGGGGACCAUCCUCCAAGGCUAAAUACUCCUGACUGACCGAUAGUGAACCAGUACCGUGAGGGAAAGGCGAAAAGAACCCCGGCGAGGGGAGUGAAAAAGAACCUGAAACCGUGUACGUACAAGCAGUGGGAGCACCUUCGGGUGUGACUGCGUACCUUUUGUAUAAUGGGUCAGCGACUUAUAUUCUGUAGCAAGGUUAACCGUAUAGGGGAGCCGCAGGGAAACCGAGUCUUAACUGGGCGUUAAGUUGCAGGGUAUAGACCCGAAACCCGGUGAUCUAGCCAUGGGCAGGUUGAAGGUUGGGUAACACUAACUGGAGGACCGAACCGACUAAUGUUGAAAAAUUAGCGGAUGACUUGUGGCUGGGGGUGAAAGGCCAAUCAAACCGGGAGAUAGCUGGUUCUCCCCGAAAGCUAUUUAGGUAGCGCCUCGUGAACUCAUCUUCGGGGGUAGAGCACUGUUUCGGCUAGGGGGUCAUCCCGACUUACCAACCCGAUGCAAACUACGAAUACCGAAGAAUGUUAUCACGGGAGACACACGGCGGGUGCUAACGUCCGUCGUGAAGAGGGAAACAACCCAGACCGCCAGCUAAGGUCCCAAAGUCAUGGUUAAGUGGGAAACGAUGUGGGAAGGCACAGACAGCCAGGAUGUUGGCUUAGAAGCAGCCAUCAUUUAAAGAAAGCGUAAUAGCUCACUGGUCGAGUCGGCCUGCGCGGAAGAUGUAACGGGGCUAAACCAUGCACCGAAGCUGCGGCAGCGACACUAUGUGUUGUUGGGUAGGGGAGCGUUCUGUAAGCCUGCGAAGGUGACCUGUGAGGGUUGCUGGAGGUAUCAGAAGUGCGAAUGCUGACAUAAGUAACGAUAAAGCGGGUGAAAAGCCCGCUCGCCGGAAGACCAAGGGUUCCUGUCCAACGUUAAUCGGGGCAGGGUGAGUCGACCCCUAAGGCGAGGCCGAAAGGCGUAGUCGAUGGGAAACAGGUUAAUAUUCCUGUACUUGGUGUUACUGCGAAGGGGGGACGGAGAAGGCUAUGUUAGCCGGGCGACGGUUGUCCCG
rnacentral:rRNA from 1 species